GACCGCGUAGCUCAGUUGGAAGAGCAUUGGGCUAGUAUUCCAAAGCUUGUAGGUUCGAAUCCCACCGUGGCCG